GUGCAUUGACUAUCACUGGACCAGCUCAGUCAAGCCGACCUACUGCGAGGACUUUCAAUAUGACCGUACAGGAUGCUGUACAGUCUAAGGAUGUGAUGUCAGGUAUCAUUCAAUACUGGUAUUAAUGCUUAUGUACUAUUUGAUUCGGGUGCUACUUGUUCAUUUAUAUCCGAUGAAUUUGCUCAGAACUUAGAUUUGCCGCAGGAAGAAUUAGAAUUUCCCUUAAGUAUAGAGAUUGCAAAUAGAGAAGUGAUUCAUGUUAGAUUUAUAUAUAGGAAUUGUAGAG
rnacentral:lncRNA from 1 species